GAAACUAGACAUCAUUAAAUUUGUUUUUUGGAUAUAUUUUACCUACUUAUAUCAAGAUACCACAAGUACUCAGAAGAUAGACAUAGAGUCAUUUGGGCAGAUACCACACUAUCAAAUAGAAAUAUAGAACGAUAGAAAUAGAAAACACUUCAGCCCGUAUAUUAUAGUAGGUAAAGUUUUUAGUAACUCUUUAAAAACCCACUAUGGGUAGAGUCAAGCCAUUAUGAAUCGAGGAUUUUCUUUGAUAUUGAUAUGUGUUCCAACCAAGUCACUAUAGUAUUCAUAGAAAUAAGAAAGCUGCUCUCGCUAAAUUGGGGUGCAAUCGUUACCUAUAUACAAUAAUUAUUAUGAAACUGACGAAGUAGAGACUUCAAUAGAUUAACUUUGUCCGAAAACUCAUCACAUUGAAAUAAUAUCUAAUUUUUCUUACUGAUUUGCCCCACCACAUCAUAUAUUAUAUGUCCUGCAUAGCAGUUGCAGAAAUAGUGUUCACUAACAUCAUCCACUUACUUUGAAAUAUAUUCGUAAUGUUUUCAAGAUCAUUAAUUUCCUUAUAAAAUCAGAUAUGAAGCCCAAAUGCGAACGGUUAUACUAAGAAGACUUCAAGUUAAAUUUUCGUUCGUACUGCAUAGGUAUCAUGACGUAACCGAUUGUUAUUACGAAGUUAUUCAUAUCUUAAAAAACAACCCUUGAAAAAAUCACUAAUUUCCUGCUGGAAACAUCGAUAGGCAAUCCAAUUUUGAUUGAAUUAUCUGUUCCGAAUGAACUAUCGUGAGUAGUUAGGAAAUCCCACUUCUUACCUCAAGAUAAGAUUAUAUUGUAUGCGCAAAUUAAACACUUCCUUUUAGGAAACGCAUAUAUCAUUUAUAUACAAUUUCAACCAUCGCAUAAUUUAUUAAAAAACAAGAACUUCAUUGAAGCCUUAUUACAUUUACCCGAUAUCUCCCGUUGUCAAUAUGAAACUCAAUCUCACGCAUCUUUUUGGUCUUCUGUUUCUUUUCGUAGCUCUCUUCAUGGAAUCUGAAGGGAACAACAUGUUUGUUCCAAAGAGAAAGUGUCCACCAGGGCAAUACGCUUUGGGAAAUGGCCCUUGCAGAGAAUUAGAGGUUUAUGAUGAUGCAGAAUGAGAGUCAUCUCAUUGCUGCGGAAUGCAAUCUCAACACCCUGAACACCUGCGUUUGAAUGAAGCACCAAAAUCUUUCAAUUAUACUUUUCAUGAAUAAAAUUUAGUUUUCUGAA